GGAGGAGGGAGGGGCGGAGACCAGAGGAUGGGAGGGAGGGCCAGGGUGGGAAAGGCGGCCGCAGUUCACCAAGGGUCACGUCGGGCGGGCCCGCAGCUCCUCGGAUCCCGGCUAAGGAAGCGAGGGAAGCGGGAAUUCAGGGCUGCCUCUUCCAGGAGGCCCGCUGCCGAGAGGCUGAGCGCCGCCGGGGCCACGCAUUCCCAGCAGCUGGGAUGAAGCCUUCCCAGCGAGGAGUUGGAGUUGCAGUGAGAAAACUCCCCGAGAGAUCCAAAGCCACUGGACCAGGUCACCUAAGGACAUGAUAUAGGAGUUUGGUGGCACCCUAGAGCCUUUCUUUGGACUCCUCUAACAAUUCCUCCAGGGGAUCGAACUCGGGUCCUUGCGCUUGCGCAGCAAGAAGCGAAACCGCUGAGCUAAAUCCCCGGCCCAUAAAACAUCAUUCUUUACAAGAUAUAAAUUAUCCAUAUUGCUCAUAAGAUAAAAGGCAUGUUUUUGUUUCAAGUGCAUAAUCUUCUAAACCAAUAUGUGUGAAAAAUUGUUCUUGGAGCUUAUGAUAUAUAUACUUGAGAUGAAGUGGAUGAUACAGCAGUGACAUUGUGACUGAGGAGUCUGCUCCUCUUCUGAAUAGUCUCAUGAAGAUUCCUGAAUGGGAAAUUGCUGCCAGAAAUUAAAGCCUAGUUCACUAAGAAAAUUGAAGGAAUCUGAGAAGACCUUCCAUGGACCUACUGUUCACCGUCAAAUUUACCUCAACUUCCAGCAUCUGUCCACACACAAACCAUCUUCAUACUUACAAUCAAUUUUUCUCCUUUUGCUAAAGCUAGACUUCUUUCUUGUGCUCAAGAUCCCAUGUCAUCUCAC
rnacentral:lncRNA from 1 species